rnacentral:rRNA from 1 species
AUACGGAGGGUGCAAGCGUUGUCCGGAUUUAUUGGGUUUAAAGGGUGCGUAGGUGGCGUGUUAAGUCAGUGGUGAAAGCCUGCAGCUCAACUGUAGAGGUGCCAUUGAUACUGACAUGCUUGAGUAUGGACGAGGUAGGCGGAAUUUGUGGUGUAGCGGUGAAAUGCAUAGAUACCACAAAGAACACCGAUAGCGAAGGCAGCUUACUGGACCAUAACUGACACUGAGGCACGAAAGUGUGGGUAGCGAACAGGAUUAGAUACCCUAGUAGUCC